rnacentral:rRNA from 1 species
UACAGAGGGGGCAAGCGUUGUUCGGAAUUACUGGGCGUAAAGGGCGCGUAGGCGGCCUGCUAAGUCGAACGUGAAAUCCCUGGGCUCAACCCAGGAACUGCGUCCGAUACUGGUUGGCUUGAAUCCGGGAGAGGGACGUGGAAUUCCAGGUGUAGCGGUGAAAUGCGUAGAUAUCUGGAGGAACACCGGUGGCGAAGGCGGCUUCCUGGACCAGAACUGACGAUCAGGCACGAAAGCGUGGGGGAGCAAACAGGG